rnacentral:lncRNA from 10 species
AUCCGCGAUUUUUUUGGGUCAGUAUCCAGAGUGCUUCAGGUCACUGUUCACCGUCAAGGCGUGGCCCUCGGAAUGAAGGCAGCAGAAUUCUCCACUUUACCAAUACUUACAGGAUCUGGGACACACAGACUUUGAAAUAUGUUCUUCUUUGUCACCAAAAACAGAAAAAUGCACAACAGAGGGACAACAAAAGCCUCCUACAAGAGUCCUACCAAAAUACCUGGGAUAUAGUAAUCACUCAAUGAAUAUAAACUGCACUUACUGGCAUGCUCAAGGAAUGGGCUAUUAAGGAUAUUGGAUUCCGACUCGACUCAUUACAUACCAUCCUGCAACAGGAAGUCCUGUUACAAGAGGAUGUGGAGCUGAUUGAGCUACUUGAUCCCAGUAUCCUGUCUGCAGGGCAAUCUCAACAACAGGAAAAUGGACACCUUCCAACACUUUGCUCCCUGGCAACCCCUAAUAUUUGGGAUCUCUCAAUGCUAUUUGCCUUCAUUAGCUUGCUCGUUAUGCUUCCCACUUGGUGGAUUGUGUCUUCCUGGCUGGUAUGGGGAGUGAUUCUAUU